GUCUAGUACCAUACCGCCAUGACCACACCCAAUGCCCUCUGACCUCAGAAGCUAGGCAGGGUUGGCCGUAGUAUUUGGAUAGGAGAAUGUAAAAUUUAAGACA
rnacentral:rRNA from 1 species